rnacentral:lncRNA from 10 species
GGGAGACUGAGGUGGACGAGGUCAGGAGUUCAAGACCAGCCUAGCCAAGGUGGUGAAACCCCGUCUCUACUAAAAAUACAAAAAUUAGCCGGGCAUGGUGGCGCAUGCCUGUAAUCCCAGCUACUCAGGAGGCUGAGGCAGAGAGUUGCUUAAACCCGGGAGGCGGAGGUUGCAGCAAGCCGAAAUCGCGCCACUGCACUGCAGGCUGGGUGACAGAGCAAGACUCCAUCUCAAAAUAAUAAUAUAAUACAAUAAAUAAAUAAAUAAAUAGUAAAAAAAAAAAAAUUAAGGCCAGGCGGGGUGGCUCACGCCUGUAAUCCCAGCACUUUGGGAGGCCGAGGUGGGAAAAUUUCUAGAGCUCAGGAGUUCGAGACCAGCCUGGCCAACAUGGUGAAACCACGCCUCUACUAAAAAUACAAAAAUUAGCCAGACAUGGUGGCAUGUGCCUGUAAUCCCAGCUACUCAAGAGGCUGAGGCGCGAGAAUCAUUUGAGCCUGGGAGGCAGAGGUUGCAGUGAGCCAAGAUCGUGCCACUGCACUCCAGCUUGGGCAACAAGAGCGAAACUCCGUCUCAAAAAAAAAAAAGAAAAAAAAAAAAGUAAAAUAAAAAAAUUAGCCAGACGUGGUGGUGAGAGCCUGUAGUCCCAGGUAUUUGGGAGGCUGAGGUGGGAAGAUCCCUUGAGCCUGGGAGGCAGAGGUUGCAGUGAGUUGAGAUCACACCACUAUGCUCCAAACUGGGCGACAGAGCGAAACUCUGUCUCAGAAAAAUAAAAAAUAAAAAUAAAUACUCCUGGCCACAGUGGCUCAUGCUUGUAAUCCUAGCACUUUGGGAGGCCAGGGCUGGAGGAUCACUUGAGCCCAAGAUUUCGAGACCAGCCUGGGCAGCAUGGCAAAACCCCGUCUCUAUUUAAAAAAAAGUCUGGUUGCAGUGACUUAUGCCUGUAAUCCCAGCACUUUGGGAGGCCAAGGGGGGCAGAUCAGUUGAGGUCAGGAGUUCAAGAUCAGCCUGGCCAACAUGGUGAAACCUCAUCUCUACUAAAAAUACAAAAAAAAAAAAAAAUUAGCCAGGCGUGGUGGCAGGCGCCUGUAAUCCCAGCUACUCAGGAGGCUGAGGCAGGAGGAUCACUUGAACCCGGGAGGCAGAGGUUGCAGUGAGCUGAGAUCGAGAUCGUGCCACUGCACUCCAGCCUGGGUGACAAAGCGAGACUCUGUCUCAAAAUAAAUAAAUAAAUAAAUUAAUUAAUUAAUUAAAUAAAAAUUACCCGACUCUGGUGGCAAGUGCCUGUAGUCCCAGCUACUCGGGAGACUGAGGUGGAAGGAUGACUUGAGUCCCAGGGAGCAGAGGUUGCAGUGAGCUGUGAUUACACCACUGCACUCCAACCUGGGUGACAUAGGGAGACCCUGUCUCAAAAACAACAAAAAAACUCAUACGUUAUCUAGCACGGUGGCGUGAGCCUGUAGUUCCAGCUACUCCAGUGGGAGGAUCCCUUGAGUUCAAGAGUUCUAGUCUAGCCUGAGCAAUGUAGGUAGACUGUUUCUAAAAAAAUAAAAAGUUAAAAAAAUUUAUGUUAACGUGUAAUGUGUUUACUAAUUUUUUUUUUUUUUUUUGGAGACAGAGUCUCCCUCUGUCGCCAGGCUAGAGUGCAGUGGCUCGAUCUCAGCUCGCUGCAGCUUCGACCUCCCAGGUUCAAGCAAUUUCCCUGCCUCAGCCCCCAAGUAGCUAGGAUUACAGGCGCAUGCCACCAUGCCUGGCCGAUUUUUUUGUAUUUUUAGUAGAGAGGGGGUUUCACCAUGUUAGCCAGACUGAUCUCGAACUCCUGACCUCAGGCAAUCUGCCUGCCUCAGCCUCCCAAAGUGCUGGGAUUACAGGCAUAAGCCAUCCUCCCGGACUAUUUUUUAAUUAAUAUUUUUUAAAGCAUCAGUUUAAAUUUCUUUUCUUUUCUUUUCUUUUUCUUCUUCUUCCCUUCCCUCCCCUCCCCUCCCCUUUCUUUCUUCCUUUCCUUUCCUUUCCUUUCUCUUUCUUUCUUUCUUUCUUUCUUUCUUUCUUUCUUUCUUUCCUUUCUCUCUCUUUCUCUCUCCCUCCCUCCCUCCCUCCCUCCCUCCCUCCCUCCCUCUCUCUCUCUUUCUUUCUUUCUUUCUUUUCAGGGUCUAGUUCUGUUGCCCAAGGUAGUGCAGUGGUGCGAUCGUAGCUCACUGCAGCCUCAAACUCCUGGGCUCAAGCGGUCCUCCCACUUCAGCCUCCUGAGUUAGCUGGGAUUAUAAAUUUCUAUUUACAGUAGAUAUGAGCAGAUAUAACUCACCUAACAAAAGCUCUUUCAAGGCUAGACACAGUGGCUUACGCCUGUAAUCCUAGCACUUUGGGAGGCUGAGGUGGGCGGAUCACCUCAGAUCGGGAGUUUGAGACCAGCCUGCCCAACAUGGUGAAAUCCUGUCUCUACUAAAAAUAUAAAAAUUAGCCGGUGUGUGGCCCGUGCCUGUAAUACGAGCUACUAGGGAGGCUGAGGCACGAGAAUUCCUUGAACUCAGGAGACGGAGGUUGCAGUGAGC